rnacentral:rRNA from 1 species
GAUGAACGCUGGCGGCGUGCCUAAUACAUGCAAGUCGAGCGAACAGACGAGGAGCUUGCUCCUCUGACGUUAGCGGCGGACGGGUGAGUAACACGUGGAUAACCUACCUAUAAGACUGGGAUAACUUCGGGAAACCGGAGCUAAUACCGGAUAAUAUAUUGAACCGCAUGGUUCAAUAGUGAAAGACGGUUUUGCUGUCACUUAUAGAUGGAUCCGCGCCGCAUUAGCUAGUUGGUAAGGUAACGGCUUACCAAGGCAACGAUGCGUAGCCGACCUGAGAGGGUGAUCGGCCACACGGGACCUGGGACACGGUCCGACCUCCUACGGAGGGCAGCGGUGGGAAAUCUUCGGCAAGGGGCGAAGGCCUGACGAAGCAACGCGGCGGGGGUAAGGAAGGUUUUCGGAUCGUAAACCUCUGUUAUUAGGAAAAACAAAAGUUUAAAGUAACAAUGCACUUCUGGAGGUAACCUAUCAGAAAGCCACGGCUAACUACGUG